UACGUAGGGUCCAAGCGUUAUCCGGAAUCACUGGGCGUAAAGCGUUUGUAGGCGGAAAUUUAAGUGAGAUGCGAAAUCUAGUGGCUCAACCACUUAGACUGUAUCUCAUACUGGGUUUCUAGAAUAUAGCAGAGGCAAGUGGAAUUAGUAGUGUAGCGGUAAAAUGCGUAGAUAUUACUAGGAACACCAAUGGCGAAGGCAGCUUGCUGGGCUAUUAUUGACGCUGAGAAACGAAAGCGUGGGGAGCGAACAGG
rnacentral:rRNA from 1 species